rnacentral:rRNA from 1 species
GAAGGAUCAUUACUGAACCGUCGACACGAGUUGUUGCUGGCCCUCAAAAGGGGGCACGUGCACGCUCUGUUUACACAUCCACUCACACCUGUGCACCCUCUGUAGUUCUAUGGCCUUGGGGACUCUGUCCCCUUGCUGUGGUCCUACGUCUUUACACACACACACACCGUAUAAAGUCUCAUGGAAUGUAUGUCGCGUUUAACGCAAUACAAUACAACUUUCAGCAACGGAUCUCUUGGCUCUCGCAUCGAUGAAGAACGCAGCGAAAUGCGAUAAGUAAUGUGAAUUGCAGAAUUCAGUGAAUCAUCGAAUCUUUGAACGCACCUUGCGCCCUUUGGCUAUUCUGAAGGGCAUGCCUGUUUGAGUAUCAUGAACACCUCAACUCUCAUGGUCUGCCAUGAUGAGCUUGGACUCUGGGGGUCUUGCUGGCCUAGCGUCGGCUCCUCUCAAAUGGAUCAGCUUGCCAGUGUUUGGUGGCAUCACGGGUGUGAUAACUAUCUACGCUUGUGGUUUUCCACCAUGUAAUCUUCAGCAAUGGAGGUUCGCUGGAGCUCACAGAUGUCUCUCCUCGGCGAGGACAGCUUUUUGAACGUUUGAUCUCAAAUCAGGUAGGACUACCCGCUGAACUUAAGC